UUAAGCGACUAAGCGUACACGGUGGAUGCCCUGGCAGUCAGAGGCGAUGAAGGACGUGCUAAUCUGCGAUAAGCGUCGGUAAGGUGAUAUGAACCGUUAUAACCGGCGAUUUCCGAAUGGGGAAACCCAGUGUGAUUCGUCACACUAUCAUUAACUGAAUCCAUAGGUUAAUGAGGCGAACCGGGGGAACUGAAACAUCUAAGUACCCCGAGGAAAAGAAAUCAACCGAGAUUCCCCCAGUAGCGGCGAGCGAACGGGGAGCAGCCCAGAGCCUGAAUCAGUGUGUGUGUUAGUGGAAGCGUCUGGAAAGGCGCGCGAUACAGGGUGACAGCCCCGUACACAAAAAUGCACAUGCUGUGAGCUCGAUGAGUAGGGCGGGACACGUGGUAUCCUGUCUGAAUAUGGGGGGACCAUCCUCCAAGGCUAAAUACUCCUGACUGACCGAUAGUGAACCAGUACCGUGAGGGAAAGGCGAAAAGAACCCCGGCGAGGGGAGUGAAAAAGAACCUGAAACCGUGUACGUACAAGCAGUGGGAGCACGCUUAGGCGUGUGACUGCGUACCUUUUGUAUAAUGGGUCAGCGACUUAUAUUCUGUAGCAAGGUUAACCGAAUAGGGGAGCCGAAGGGAAACCGAGUCUUAACUGGGCGUUAAGUUGCAGGGUAUAGACCCGAAACCCGGUGAUCUAGCCAUGGGCAGGUUGAAGGUUGGGUAACACUAACUGGAGGACCGAACCGACUAAUGUUGAAAAAUUAGCGGAUGACUUGUGGCUGGGGGUGAAAGGCCAAUCAAACCGGGAGAUAGCUGGUUCUCCCCGAAAGCUAUUUAGGUAGCGCCUCGUGAAUUCAUCUCCGGGGGUAGAGCACUGUUUCGGCAAGGGGGUCAUCCCGACUUACCAACCCGAUGCAAACUGCGAAUACCGGAGAAUGUUAUCACGGGAGACACACGGCGGGUGCUAACGUCCGUCGUGAAGAGGGAAACAACCCAGACCGCCAGCUAAGGUCCCAAAGUCAUGGUUAAGUGGGAAACGAUGUGGGAAGGCCCAGACAGCCAGGAUGUUGGCUUAGAAGCAGCCAUCAUUUAAAGAAAGCGUAAUAGCUCACUGGUCGAGUCGGCCUGCGCGGAAGAUGUAACGGGGCUAAACCAUGCACCGAAGCUGCGGCAGCGACGCUUAUGCGUUGUUGGGUAGGGGAGCGUUCUGUAAGCCUGUGAAGGUGUGCUGUGAGGCAUGCUGGAGGUAUCAGAAGUGCGAAUGCUGACAUAAGUAACGAUAAAGCGGGUGAAAAGCCCGCUCGCCGGAAGACCAAGGGUUCCUGUCCAACGUUAAUCGGGGCAGGGUGAGUCGACCCCUAAGGCGAGGCCGAAAGGCGUAGUCGAUGGGAAACAGGUUAAUAUUCCUGUACUUGGUGUUACUGCGAAGGGGGGACGGAGAAGGCUAUGUUGACCGGGCGACGGUUGUCCCGGUUUAAGCGUGUAGGCUGGUUUUCCAGGCAAAUCCGGAAAAUCAAGGCUGAGGCGUGAUGACGAGGCACUACGGUGCUGAAGCAACAAAUGCCCUGCUUCCAGGAAAAGCCUCUAAGCAUCAGGUAACAUCAAAUCGUACCCCAAACCGACACAGGUGGUCAGGUAGAGAAUACCAAGGCGCUUGAGAGAACUCGGGUGAAGGAACUAGGCAAAAUGGUGCCGUAACUUCGGGAGAAGGCACGCUGAUAUGUAGGUGAAGCGACUUGCUCGUGGAGCUGAAAUCAGUCGAAGAUACCAGCUGGCUGCAACUGUUUAUUAAAAACACAGCACUGUGCAAACACGAAAGUGGACGUAUACGGUGUGACGCCUGCCCGGUGCCGGAAGGUUAAUUGAUGGGGUCAGCGCAAGCGAAGCUCUUGAUCGAAGCCCCGGUAAACGGCGGCCGUAACUAUAACGGUCCUAAGGUAGCGAAAUUCCUUGUCGGGUAAGUUCCGACCUGCACGAAUGGCGUAAUGAUGGCCAGGCUGUCUCCACCCGAGACUCAGUGAAAUUGAACUCGCUGUGAAGAUGCAGUGUACCCGCGGCAAGACGGAAAGACCCCGUGAACCUUUACUAUAGCUUGACACUGAACAUUGAGCCUUGAUGUGUAGGAUAGGUGGGAGGCUUGGAAGUGUGGACGCCAGUCUGCAUGGAGCCGACCUUGAAAUACCACCCUUUAAUGUUUGAUGUUCUAACGUUGACCCGUAAUCCGGGUUGCGGACAGUGUCUGGUGGGUAGUUUGACUGGGGCGGUCUCCUCCUAAAGAGUAACGGAGGAGCACGAAGGUUGGCUAAUCCUGGUCGGACAUCAGGAGGUUAGUGCAAUGGCAUAAGCCAGCUUGACUGCGAGCGUGACGGCGCGAGCAGGUGCGAAAGCAGGUCAUAGUGAUCCGGUGGUUCUGAAUGGAAGGGCCAUCGCUCAACGGAUAAAAGGUACUCCGGGGAUAACAGGCUGAUACCGCCCAAGAGUUCAUAUCGACGGCGGUGUUUGGCACCUCGAUGUCGGCUCAUCACAUCCUGGGGCUGAAGUAGGUCCCAAGGGUAUGGCUGUUCGCCAUUUAAAGUGGUACGCGAGCUGGGUUUAGAACGUCGUGAGACAGUUCGGUCCCUAUCUGCCGUGGGCGCUGGAGAACUGAGGGGGGCUGCUCCUAGUACGAGAGGACCGGAGUGGACGCAUCACUGGUGUUCGGGUUGUCAUGCCAAUGGCACUGCCCGGUAGCUAAAUGCGGAAGAGAUAAGUGCUGAAAGCAUCUAAGCACGAAACUUGCCCCGAGAUGAGUUCUCCCUGACCCUUUAAGGGUCCUGAAGGAACGUUGAAGACGACGACGUUGAUAGGCCGGGUGUGUAAGCGCAGCGAUGCGUUGAGCUAACCGGUACUAAUGAACCGUGAGGCUUAACCUU
rnacentral:rRNA from 1 species